UACAGAGGGUGCGAGCGUUAAUCGGAAUUACUGGGCGUAAAGCGUGCGUAGACGGUUACAUAAGUCGGGUGUGAAAGCCCCGGGCUCAACCUGGGAAUUGCAUUCGAGACUGCGUAGCUAGGGUGCGGAAGAGGGAAGCGGAAUUUCCGGUGUAGCGGUGAAAUGCGUAGAUAUCGGAAGGAACACCAGUGGCGAAAGCGGCUUCCUGGUCCAGCACCGACGUUCAGGCACGAAAGCGUGGGGAGCAAACAGGA
rnacentral:rRNA from 1 species